AAAGACAGAGCUUUGACUUCAACCAUGCUGUUGAUGAAUGGAUUUCAAUGUGCUCCAGUUUUGUUCUUCGCAUCAGGAAGACUCUGUUUUACACAGAAAUAGCCAGAUGUCAUCUUGCUGGAUGUGGAAUAUAACUGCUGCAUUUCAUUCAGGGGACUGGAAUGAAUGAAUCCGAAACGCCAAGGAUCAUUACAAAAAUUCAAAAAGGAAAACUUGAAGCCCUACAUAUACAUUUCAGGUGUGACUGGUCAGGUGUUUUUCUGUAUUAGAGCUGGGCCUUUAAGAGGGAUCUUUUCUUGUCUCUGUCUGGGUAGAUGAAAGUUCACUUUCACCUCACAGCGCUGUAAGUAACCUAAGAACAUUUUGGUUAUAACACUGAUGGAAUCAAGCUGGUU
rnacentral:lncRNA from 1 species